ACGAACGCUGGCGGCGUGCUUAACACAUGCAAGUCGAGCGGAAAGGCCCUGCUUGCCGGGUACUCGAGUGGCGAACGGGUGAGUAACACGUGGGUGAUCUGCCCUGCACUUCGGGAUAAGCCUGGGAAACUGGGUCUAAUACCGGAUAGGAGCCAUUUUUAGUGUGAUGGUUGGAAAGUUUUUUCGGUGUAGGAUGAGCUCGCGGCCUAUCAGCUUGUUGGUGGGGUAAUGGCCUACCAAGGCGGCGACGGGUAGCCGGCCUGAGAGGGUGGACGGCCACAUUGGGACUGAGAUACGGCCCAGACUCCUACGGGAGGCAGCAGUGGGGAAUAGUGCACAAUGGGCGCAAGCCUGAUGCAGCGACGCCGCGUGGGGGAUGACGGCCUUCGGGUUGUAAACUCCUUUCGCUAGGGACGAAGCUUUUUGUGACGGUACCUAGAUAAGAAGCACCGGCUAACUACGUG
rnacentral:rRNA from 1 species